rnacentral:rRNA from 1 species
UACGUAGGGGGCAAGCGUUGUCCGGAAUCAUUGGGCGUAAAGAGCGCGUAGGCGGCCCGAUAAGUCCGCUGUGAAAGUCAAGGGCUUAACCCUUGAAUGCCGGUGGAAACUGUCGGGCUAGAGUCCGGAAGAGGCGAGUGGAAUUCCGGGUGUAGUGGUGAAAUGCGUAGAGAUCCGGAGGAACACCAGUGGCGAAGGCGACACGCUGGGCCGUACCUGACGCUGAUACGCGACAGCAUGGGGAGCGAACGGG